rnacentral:rRNA from 1 species
UACGGAGGGUGCGAGCGUUGUCCGGAAUCACUGGGCGUAAAGGGCGCGUAGGCGGCCACCGCAAGUCGACUGUGAAAUCUCCGGGCUUAACCCGGAAAGGUCAGCCGAUACUGCGGGGCUAGAGUGCAGAAGGGGCAACUGGAAUUCUCGGUGUAGCGGUGAAAUGCGUAGAUAUCGAGAGGAACACCUGCGGCGAAGGCGGCCAUCUGGACCGGUACUGACGCUAAUGCGCGACAGCGUGGGGAGCAAACAGG